GACCACUGAGCCCAGUGAUGCAGUGUUAUGCUUGGAGGGACUAUGACAGGUGUUAUGACAGUAUGAUGGAAACACAGAAGGAGAAAAUCUACUGA
rnacentral:lncRNA from 12 species